GCCGGGCUUGGUGGCUCACGCCUGUAAUCCCAGCACUUGGGGAGGCCGAGGCGGGUGGAUCACCUGAGGUCAGGAGUUCAAGACCAGCCUGGCCAACAUGGUGAAAACCCGUCUCUA
rnacentral:SRP_RNA from 1 species